GGCGGUAUUUUAGUCUAUUCAGAGGAAUCUGUCCUAUAAUUGAUAAUCCACGAUUUAAUUUACUUUUAGAAAAAAUUUAUAUAUCGUCGUAGUUUGAAUAUUUUAAAAGAAUUUUAAUGUUCAAAAUUUUUUUUUAUAAAAUUAAAUCAGAUCAAGGUGUAGUUUAUAUAAAAGAAGAGAUGGAUUACAUUAAAUUUAUUUAAAGAUUAAUUUUUGUAAAAUUUUAUGAAUAUGGAUUUGAUAGUAAUUUUUUUAAAAUUUUAAAAAUGAUUUAAGCUCUAAAAUAUGUACACAUCGCCC
rnacentral:rRNA from 1 species